rnacentral:rRNA from 1 species
UUGUUCUUUAAAUGAGGACUCGUAUCAACGGCAUCACGAGGAUCCUACUGUCUCCCCCCUCUAAUCGGUGAAACUGAUCUCUCCGUGAAGAAGCGGAGAUGUACAUAUAAGACGAGAAGACCCCAUGGAGCUUUAAACCCAACAACACCCGCUCCCCUCCAAAUCCUAUUAUUUACCCGGUGAUUGUUUGUUUGGUUUUAGGUUGGGGUGACCGCGGAGUAUAAGAUAUCCUCCAUGAAAAAAAGCUAACUGCCCUUAUUAGAGAAAGACACUUCCAAAAAAUAAUAAAUUAAUUUUAAAUGAUCCGACAUUCGAUCAACGAACCAAGUUACCCUGGGGAUAACAGCGCAAUCCGUCCCGAGAGCCCCUAUCGACAGGCGGGUUUACGACCUCGAUGUUGGAUCAGGGUAUCCUAGUGGUGCAGCAGCUACUAAAGGUUCGUUUGUUCAACGAUUAAAACCCU